AUUGAACGCUGGCGGCAGGCCUAACACAUGCAAGUCGAACGAGUGGCGGACGGGUGAGUAAUGUCUGGGAAACUGCCUGAUGGAGGGGGAUAACUACUGGAAACGGUUGCUAAUACCGCAUACCAUCGGAUGUGCCCAGAUGGGUUUAGCUAGUAGGUGGGGUAAAGGCUCACCUAGGCGACUAUCCGUAGCUGGUCUGAGAGGAUGACCAGCCAGACUGGACAUUAGACACGGUCCAGACUCCUACGGGAAGCAGCAGUGUGGAAUAUUGCACAAUGGGCGCAAGCCUGAUGCAGCCAUGCCGCGUGUAUGAAGAAGGCCUUCGGGUUGGAAAGUACUUUCAGCGGGGAGGCGUUACCCGCAGAAGAAGCACCGGCUAACUCCGUGCCAGCAGCCGCGGUAAUUC
rnacentral:rRNA from 1 species